rnacentral:snRNA from 1 species
AUCACUUCUCAGCCUUUUGGCUAAGAUCAAGUGUAGUAUCUGUUUUUUCAGUUUAAUAUCUGAUAUGUACUAAAUUAAAAAUAAUAAAAAAUAAAUGGGAGAUAAGAGAAACCAGAGAAUCCAU